rnacentral:rRNA from 1 species
GACGUAGGGGGGCCAGCGUUGCUCGGAAUUACUGGGCGUAAAGGGUUCGUAGGCGGUGGUGGCAAGUCGGUAGUGAAAUCUCCAGGCUUAACUUGGAGGCUGCUGCCGAAACUGCCGUGCUAGAGUGCAGGAGAGGCGAGUGGAAUUACAGGUGUAGCGGUGAAAUGCGUAGAUAUCUGUAGGAACACCGUGGCGAAGGCGGCUCGCGUGGACUGCAACUGACGCUGAGGAACGAAAGCGUAGGGGAGCAAACGGG